GUCUCCAUAGUUUAGAGGUUUAUAACAUCUGACUGUUAAAACGCUAACUCCUCCGGGAAAUGGCAAGGCAACUAUCAGAAGGUCGGCAGUUCGAUCCUGCCUGGGGACG
rnacentral:tRNA from 1 species